AGCAGGCCGGAGGUUGUCCAGGCGUUGACGAGUUGACACUUUUUACUAAAUUCAAACCAUAUACGCACACGCUUCCCCCUUCGUUUCAUCGGAAUUUCCGACCAAGUAUAUUUUAUCGACAUUGGAUUCUGGAGGAUCUCCAAAGGGAAGAAUUUCCCUGACGGAACUAGAAGAUGAGCACCGAUCGAACUCGUUUGGCGACACAGCCGCGUUCCGGUCCCAGACCUAAUCCCCCACAUUCCGGUGACUAUGCUUUCUACCCUAAGCUCGGCCCAGACGACGUUGCUCCCCCUCCGAUUGAGAAAUGGGGCGACGUGCCAAUGGACCGCCAACAGCAAACGCAAGCACCGUUGGAGAAUCCAGUUCACGGUGUUUCCGGGGUUCCGAUCUCCGUGGACGCCGCCACCAUGAUGCAGCAGGAGUCUAGUCCCUACAUCUCUCCAGGGCCGGUGCCGCCACCGUCGUCCUCCGUCAAGAAUAAAAUGGACACGGUGAAAGAUGCGCUUGGGAAAUUCGGGAAGAAGGCGGCCGAGGCCACCAAGAAGGCUGAAAAUCUCGCUGGGAACAUGUGGCAGCACUUGAAAACCGGUCCUAGUGUUGCUGAUGCUGCUGUCGGAAGAAUUGCUCAGAGUACAAAAGUUCUUGCAGAAGGUGGUUAUGAGAAGAUUUUUCAACAAAGUUUCGAGACCGUGCCAGGGGAGAAGCUUCUAAAGACAUAUGCAUGCUAUCUAUCCACGUCUUCUGGACCAGUAAUGGGAACCGUAUAUCUGUCCACGGCAAAGCUGGCAUUCUGUAGUGAUAAUCCACUCUCUUACGAAGCUGGUGACCGGACAGAAUGGAGCUAUUAUAAGGUGGUUAUACCAUUACAUCAGCUGAGGGCAGUCAAUCCUUCAACAAGCAAUGUCAAGCCUGGGGAAAAAUAUAUACAGCUUAUCUCUGUUGACAACCAUGAAUUUUGGUUUAUGGGCUUUGUACACUACGACAGUGCGGUGAAAAAUCUUCAAGGAGCACUGCAGCCCCACAUCUUUUGAUGCACAAGGGCCAAAUUUUUGACCAUGUCGCAGAAGGACCAUUAUACAAGCUGUCUGUCUAUGUAGAUAAAAUAUCCUGCACAGAAUAUGGGAUAUCUGAGAUUAAAUUAUGUAUCUUUAUGCUGCUGGGUGUUCAUUGGUGUUGGAACUCAUUUAUUGUGAGCAUAGGUUCUGCUUUGGGACAUAUUUGGUGUGAUGGAAAGUCGGUACAAUCCCGAAUUGUUGCGGAUUCACAAUCGAAAAGAAUUUUGAGUUUUUUGUUGGAGCAUGGCGGGCUUAAGUUUCUUGACUGGAGCUGUUAUCGAAGAAAGGUGCAUGCUCUGAAUUGUAAUUCCAUCAUGUUGCUAUUGUAUUGACAAGCAAGAUGCGAUCGAGGCAGGAGUCGUCUUCGCUUUCACCAGCAAACAGUGCAUUAAUUUCAGAUGUUUACAUUGACGAACCUUAUUGGUACUAUAUGCCUUUUGCGAGCUCGAUGUUG